UACGGGGGGGGCAAGCGUUGUUCGGAAUUACUGGGCGUAAAGGGUUUGUAGGUGGCCUGCUAAGUCAGACGUGAAAUCCCUCAGCUUAACUGGGGAACUGCGUCUGAUACUGGCGGGCUUGAGGACAGGAGAGGAACGCGGAAUUCCAGGUGUAGCGGUGAAAUGCGUAGAUAUCUGGAGGAACACCGGUGGCGAAGGCGGCAUUCUGGACCGACAUUGACGCUGAGGAGCGAAAGCCAGGGGAGCAAACGGG
rnacentral:rRNA from 1 species